rnacentral:rRNA from 1 species
CCUACGGGUGGCAGCAGUGAGGAAUAUUGGCCAAUGGACGAAAGUCUGAACCAGCCAAGUAGCGUGAAGGAUGACUGCCCUAUGGGUUGUAAACUUCUUUUAUAUGGGAAUAAAAUGUUCCACGUGUGGGAUUUUGUAUGUACCAUAUGAAUAAGGAUCGGCUAACUCCGUGCCAGCAGCCGCGGUAAUACGGAGGAUCCGAGCGUUAUCCGGAUUUAUUGGGUUUAAAGGGAGCGUAGGUGGAUUGUUAAGUCAGUUGUGAAAGUUUGCGGCUCAACCGUAAAAUUGCAGUUGAAACUGGCAGUCUUGAGUACAGUAGAGGUGGGCGGAAUUCGUGGUGUAGCGGUGAAAUGCUUAGAUAUCACGAAGAACUCCGAUUGCGAAGGCAGUUCACUGGACUGCAACUGACACUGAGGCUCGAAAGUGUGGGUAUCAAACAGGAUUAGAUACCCCAGUAGUC